CUCCAUCCUGACUCAGACAGAAACAAAAUGGUGUGUUGGCUGAGCUGGCUUCUCCUGGUGGCUCUGUUAGGAGGGGUCCAAUGUGAGGUGCAGCUGGUGGAGUCUGGAGGAGACUUGGUGAAGCCCGCGGGGUCUCUGACACUCUCUUGUGCAGCCUCUGGAUUCAAUUUUGGCAGCUAUGCAAUGUCCUGGGUCCGCCAGGCUCCAGGGAAGGGCCUAGAGUGGGUCUCAAGCAUAAGUAGUGAUGGUGCUGGUACAUACUAUGCUGAGUCUGUGAAGGGCCGAUUCACCAUCUCCAGAGACAACAGCAAGAACACGGUCUCUCUGCAAAUGAGCCGCCUGAGGGAGGAGGACACGGCCCUGUACUACUGUGCGAAACACACAGUG